AACAAAACGCUACAGACAAGUAAUGUUGUUCUAUUAAAGAGCAUAUUUUCAAAUAUAGUUUCAUUCUGAAAAAAUUUUAUUACAAAUAUGAGUAAGACAGCAAUGGACGAAACCUACAAAGCUACAUCAAAUGUUAAAUAUCUAAAUUUAUCAAGAUCCAACAUGGCAUUCAUGAAAAACUUGGAAAACUACCAACAGCUUGAGGUUCUCGAUUUGAGUCAGAAUCACAUUGAAGAUAUUAGCAACAUUGCUUUCUAUCAAAAUCUUUGGAAAGUGGAUUUGAGUUUUAACAAGAUUACAUGUCUAGAUGGUUUAACACCCUUCAUUGCUCUGGGUUGCCUCAACUUGUCCCACAAUCAAGUUUCUUGGUCAGAAUUAUUAAAAAUUAGACAUAUUCAAAUACUGGACCUGAUGCUUUUUGGUAAUCCAAACUUGGAGAAAGAAAAACUCUAUCGUAUUCACUUGAUUGACAGUCUACCUAAUGUAUGGAUGUUGGAUGGAAAACUGGUCACAGCCAGUGAACAUCUGGAAGUUGAACAACUGUUUAAGAUGGCAAAGGAACAAGGACUAGCACUAUGGCACAAACUGCCAAAAAACAAAUUCUUCCCUUCUUACCUACGGCAUCUUCAAGUAAAUGGGGCUUUUGGAAAAAAGGCAUGUCACCUGCUCAUGCGCUUCCCACAGAAAACGUCACUAAACAGUGAAAUAGACAGGAAGAGACUGAAAUAUUUGGCAUACAGUAUGCAGGGAAAUCUCCAGUUGGAAUUGAACAGCAUUGAGAAAUUAGAAAUCUACCAAAACAUUUUUGAAGGACUCUUGGAAGCCAGGCAACAAAAUCAGGAAAACAGUAACAUUCUUUUUCUUUUACUUCUGGUGUCACUAGAAUUUCAUCUUCCAACACAGGUUAUUGUUGACAUGUUGGCCUUAACCAGCUUACACAAAUAUGGGAAUCAUCUCAGUAUUGAUCUGUUCCUGUUACCAAGAACCAUUCGUUGUCUUGUGGUUAUUUUACUACUGAAUGCCAUCAAAGUUGACAAUGAGGAAGACAGUGAGGAAGGCAUUUAUGAUGAUUUAUUCCUUUAUGUUUACAACAACGUCCCUGACUUGUUGAAACUCACUGAUCAUAGGUGCGACAAUUUGAAAAAAGUAUCCUCCAACUCAAGUUACAAAGAUUACAGAUCUCUUCUUUCUGCUGAAAUAUGUCAAAUUUUACUCUUGGUGCCAUCAUUCUACCAACAUGUCAAGCUUAAAGAUCCAGGUUUAAUUGGUUUGUUGAGGGAAGCCACAAAUGAAAAGGAUGUGUGCAGUAUUAUAAAUGAUGUGUUUAAUAAUAACACUGAACAACAGAAGACAGAGACCCUGGAAGACAUGGAACAAAGUGACGAAAGCUGCUCUCAGAACACUGAACCUCAUGGAGAUGACAAAGGGCCAAUAUGUCAGGUGAUAUGCAGUUCUCAAGGAGACCUCUCCACCUCAGUGAAACUGAGUUCUGGAAGCACUGCAAUGAAAGAAGUAGAAGAAACAGAAGAAGAAGAAGACAGAUUGAAUUCUAAGCAGAAUUCUCUUAGAUUAGUUCUCAGCUCAUUGAUUCAGAAACAGCUGAAGGUUGUGACAUCAAAACAACUGGUUUUGACACCAUGUGAACAUCUGCUUAAUUCUAUCAAGACCCAAAUCUUUGAUAAUAAUGAUAUAUCAAAGCAAAAACAGAAACAACAAAGACAAGAUAGUCAAGAUCACCUGAAAUAUCAGAAAGAACAUUAUGAAAAUGCAGCACAGAGUAGGCCGGAAUAUUCAGAAAGUUUAGUGUUUGAGAAAGUAGAGCGAAGCUGUCUAAGGAGUCCAUUUAGAAGUUUUUCUGCAAGAACCAACAAAUCCAAACUUUGCAUUUAUAAAAGCAAUAAAGAAUUAGUUAAGCAAAGUAGCAGUGAAGAAAUUAUAUCCCCAGCUGUCUGUGAUAAGCAGCUGAAUACAGAUGAUACACAACAAGAAAGUAAAAUGAAAAUAAUUGUAAAUGUUGACAGUAAAUAUAUACCAAAUACUGAAUAUGUGAAAAUGAACUCUGGCAGUAACCUGAAGUACAAUUCUUCAAACUUUGAUUAUAAAGAGGAAUUAUUAAUUCUAAAUGUUAACCAUUUAUCAGAGAGAAAGAAUGUAUUUCCUCUUCACACUAGUCAGUUUGUCUCUAAACCAAAGAAGGUUGAUCAAAAGACUGACCAAAGGAAAAGUCUUAAUCACAGACCUGCUACAACAGCAGCAUGUUUUAGGAAUUUCUCAGAAGUAAAUACUCCAGAAGGAAAUUCUGAAAAGGCCAUUCUACAUCAAUAUCUGUUAAUGAUAGCAAAUGGAACAACCAACAUUCAAACAAACGGUAACAGUAUUCUACCACAACAACAACAGAGAAUCUCUUCAAUGAAGAAGUGUCACCAAGGAAUAUUUUGUGGUUAUGAAAUCCCUUCUGAUUCCAAGAUUGGUGUGAAAACAUGUGUAGAAGGAAAAUAUGUUAAUCUACAGUCUGGUCAUUUUUGGUUGGCUAAUGGACGGAAUGUUUUUGAAGAGCAAAGACUCCUUGAGCAGACGUUAAAGAACAGCUAUAUCCCAGGAUGGAAACAGGAAAUGGAUUACUGCAGACCAAAAACAGAUUCUAAGAAACAGUCACACAGGUUGAAUAACUCUACUCUGAGGCGGCCCUCGACAACCAUCCAUCUCUGAGCUUUUAGAUUUUGCAUGAAUUAUCCACUUAAAAGUGGACACCAAGUGAAAGAUAUUAAAAACAAAACAGUGAAAUACUAGACUUCAUUUAGAAGACAUCCUAAGGAAAUCUCCUUGAGCCAAGGCAGACAUGAAGAGGCUUUCUCAAGUUGUUAUUGAAAUGCAAAAUAUACAAAGCUGCUGAGAAAUGUGCAUAGAAAGUACAAUGCAAUAUUUAUGGCUUAGCACUGCAAGAAGUGAUAUUGGGAAAGAUGCUAGCCCCUAUCGUUGCAAUAAUGGUGACACAUAUACGUAUCUACACAGACACCAUACUUUGAAAUAUCAGAAGAAAACCUGAAAAUGAAAAUGACUUUUUGUCAAUAUAUUCUCUGGAUUUAACUGACAAUUAAGUUAACAUGAAUAUGCUUGACAAGUUAGUCUUCAUUAGUUGCUUUUAUUAUUUUAAAACAGGACCAUGUCCACUAACAAAGCAAAACAUAUAAUCCAUACAUCUGUUAACCAAACAGGGGGGGAGGGGGAGUGUAGUCAACAACAAAAUUAUUUGUUACUGAAAAAAAGGAACAAAAGAUAUUAAAAAAAGAAGCAUUAAAUUGAAUGGAGCCAUCAGCACCAUUUUAUUUGUGAGGAUUUGUAUAUUAAAGCAUUUACCUCUUAUACAACCUUCACACAGUUCGUCAACAACAAGAAACAAAGACAUUUGGAAAUAAUAA